UCGAAGCGAAGGGUAUUCC
rnacentral:miRNA from 1 species